UUCUCAAUUCGACUGUAUUUUUUUUUUUUUUUUUUUUUUUUUUUUUUUAUAUUUUUUUUUUUUUUUUUUUUUUUUUUUUUUUUUUUUUUUUUUUUUUUUUUUUUUUUUUUUUUUUUUUUUUCUCUAAACCCCCGAUAUUGUGGUCGGAGCCUGUGUCUACUAUGUUCUCUUUCAUACCAGUUCUAUCAAUCAUGCCUCUCGUACUUUCAUUCUUCAUACUAAUUUCUUCUAUCAUUCAUCAUCUUUCGCCGAUCAGGGUGAGUUCCCUUACUAAUUUGCCUAA
rnacentral:misc_RNA from 1 species